UCUUAUAGAUGAACAAAGAAAGCGGUUUCCUGAGAUGGUAUUUACUCUUGGUGCAGAUGCUGUGAA
rnacentral:pre_miRNA from 1 species